AGUGACUAACACCAUUAUAAGGGGUGUAGGAUCUCCCACUCUUGCUCUCUCUCUCACCUCUCUUGGCCCUUCUUCCAUAUGAUGAUACCUUCAGCCAUGUUAAGACACAGCAAAAAGGCCCUCACCAGAUUCUGGCACCUGGAUAUUGUACCUGCCAGCCUCCAGAAAUAAAUAUUCUGAAGAAGGAAAUAUAUUCUUGGAAAAGAAAAUAUUGGAAAUAGAGACAUCCCUGGGAAAAAAAGCCACUCUUGGAACCCAGCCAGCCACUCUGCUGUCAGCAAUUCAACACUAGCCAUGUAGAAAAAUAAUACAGAAAGUUCCACAUGGAGAGAAACUAACUCCCCCAUUCAAUAGCUAGUCAAAACAACCAAGGAUAAGCAAUCCUUCAGAUGAUUCCAGCUUCCAGCCAUUGGGUCUUCCAACUGAGGCCCCAGAUACUGUGGAAGAGAGAUUUUGAAAACACAAUAAUAAACAAGGUAGACACUGACUGCACCUUCAAGACAAAGAUUAGGUUGACGACUCAACAGAUUUCAUCAAUAAGUGUCUUGUUGUAGCAUGUGUAUCAUUUCUAAAUGGUGGUGAAAUCCAAGAAACCUUUUUUCUACUGUAUCCAGCUUACCCAAACAGCAAAUGCCAAGAUCUAUUUAAUGUUGUGCCAUCAUAUGUGGAAACAAAAGGCCUAAGAGGACCGUGUUGGCAUCUAUGCUGAUAGCACCAUGCAUCUACCUUGAAGAAAAUGAAAAUCCCAAUGUUGUCAUAUUCAUUGCCUUCUUUACUGAAAGAUGCUUCUUCAAAAACUCCUCAACAUGAAAUUAAAAAGUCCUAUGUGAUGCU